UACGUAGGGGGCAAGCGUUGUCCGGAUUUAUUGGCGUAAAGAGCGUGUAGGCGGUCCGGUAAGUCGGCUGUGAAAGUCCCAGGGCUCAACCCUGGGACUGCCGGUCGAUACUGCCGGACUAGAGUUCUGGAGGGGAUAGCGGAAUUCCUGGUGUAGCGGUGAAAUGCGUAGAUAUCAGGAGGAACACCGGUGGCGAAGGCGGCUAUCUGGACAGAGUCUGACGCGAGGCGACGAAGCUAGGGGAGCAAACAGG
rnacentral:rRNA from 1 species